UACGAAGGGGGCUAGCGUUGUUCGGAAUUACUGGGCGUAAAGGGCUCGUAGGCGGCCAACUAAGUCAGACGUGAAAUCCCUCGGCUUAACCGGGGAACUGCGUCUGAUACUGGAUGGCUAGAGUUUGGGAGAGGGAUGCGGAAUUCCAGGUGUAGCGGUGAAAUGCGUAGAUAUCUGGAGGAACACCGGUGGCGAAGGCGGCAUCCUGGACCAACACUGACGCUGAGGAGCGAAAGCCAGGGGAGCAAACGGG
rnacentral:rRNA from 1 species